rnacentral:misc_RNA from 1 species
AAAGUCGUAACAAGGUCUCCGUUGGUGAACCAGCGGAGGGAUCAUUAGCGAGUUAUGAACUCCCAACCCUCGUGGACAUACCUAUCGUUGCUUCGGCGGGGCGCCCGCAGCGCACCCCCUUCGGGGGACCCGCCGAUGGCACGCAAACCAAACUCUGCCUUCUGGUGUAUUCUGAGUAGACUACAAAUAAGUCAAAACUUUCAGCAACGGAUCUCUUGGUUCUG